AUUGAACGCUGGCGGCAUGCCUUACACAUGCAAGUCGAACGGCAGCGCGGGAGCAAUCCUGGCGGCGAGUGGCGAACGGGUGAGUAAUACAUCGGAACGUGCCCAAUCGUGGGGGAUAACGCAGCGAAAGCUGUGCUAAUACCGCAUACGAUCUACGGAUGAAAGCAGGGGAUCGCAAGACCUUGCGCGAAUGGCGCGGCCGAUGGCAGAUUAGGUAGUUGGUGAGGUAAAGGCUCACCAAGCCUUCGAUCUGUAGCUGGUCUGAGAGGACGACCAGCCACACUGGGACUGAGACACGGCCCAGACUCCUACGGGAGGCAGCAGUGGGGAAUUUUGGACAAUGGGCGAAAGCCUGAUCCAGCCAUGCCGCGUGCAGGAUGAAGGCCUUCGGGUUGUAAACUGCUUUUGUACGGAACGAAACGGUCUUUUCUAAUAAAGAAGGCUAAUGACGGUACCGUAAGAAUAAGCACCGGCUAACUACGUG
rnacentral:rRNA from 1 species